UACAGAGGGUGCGAGCGUUAAUCGGAAUUACUGGGCGUAAAGCGCACGUAGUCGGCUUUGCAAGUCGGUUGUGAAAUCCCCGGGCUCAACCUGGGAACUGCAUCCGAGACUGCAUUGCUAGAGUACGGGAGAGGGAAGCGGAAUUCCGGGUGUAGCGGUGAAAUGCGUAGAUAUCCGGAGGAACACCGGUGGCGAAGGCGGCUUCCUGGACCGACACUGACGCUGAGGCGCGAAAGCUAGGGGAGCAAACGGG
rnacentral:rRNA from 1 species